rnacentral:rRNA from 1 species
GACGAACGCUGGCGGCGUGCUUAACACAUGCAAGUCGAACGGAAAGGCCCUGCUUUUGUGGGGUGCUCGAGUGGCGAACGGGUGAGUAACACGUGAGUAACCUGCCCUUGACUUUGGGAUAACUUCAGGAAACUGGGGCUAAUACCGGAUAGGAGCUCCUGCUGCAUGGUGGGGGUUGGAAAGUUUCGGCGGUUGGGGAUGGACUCGCGGCUUAUCAGCUUGUUGGUGGGGUAGUGGCUUACCCAGGCUUUGACGGGUAGCCGGCCGGAGAGGGUGACCGGCCACAUUGGGACUGAGAUACGGCCCAGACUCCUACGGGAGGCAGCAGUGGGGAAUAUGGCACAAUGGGCGGAAGGCCGAUGCAGCAGCGCCGCGUGCGGGAUGACGGCCUUCGGGUUGUGAACCGCUUUCGCCUGUGACGAAGCGUGAGUGACGGUAAUGGGUAAAGAAGCACCGGCUAACUACGUG